rnacentral:rRNA from 1 species
UACGUAGGGGGCAAGCGUUGUCCGGAAUCAUUGGGCGUAAAGCGCGUGUAGGCGGCCAGGUAAGUCCGUUCUGAAAGCCCGGGGCUCAACCCCGGGAGGCGGAUGGAUACUGCUUGGCUCGAGUCCGGAAGAGGCGACUGGAAUUCCUGGUGUAGCGGUGAAAUGCGCAGAUAUCAGGAGGAACACCGGUGGCGAAGGCGGGUCUCUGGGCCGAUACUGACGCUGAGGAGCGAAAGCGUGGGGAGCGAACAGG